GAUGAACGCUCGCGGGAGGCCUAACACAUGCAAGCCGAGCGGUAUGGGUAGCUUGCUACCCAGAGAGCGGCGUACGGGUGCGUAACACGUGUGCAACCUGCCCCUAUCCGGGGGAUAGCCCUCCGAAAGGAGGAUUAAUACCCCAUAAUAUAUCUGGUGGCAUCACUAGAUAUUGAAAACCCCGGUGGAUAGGGAUGGGCACGCGCAAGAUUAGAUAGUUGGCGGGGUAACGGCCCACCAAGUCGAUGAUCUUUAGGGGUCCUGAGAGGGAGAUCCCCCACACUGGUACUGAGACACGGACCAGACUCCUACGGGAGGCAGCAGUGAGGAAUAUUGGACAAUGGGUGGAAGCCUGAUCCAGCCAUCCCGCGUGAGGGACGACGGCCCUAUGGGUGGUAAACCUCUUUUGGACGGGGAUAAACCUAUCUACGUGUAGAUAGCUGAAGGUACCGGACGAAUAAGCACCGGCUAACUCCGUG
rnacentral:rRNA from 1 species